GGAAGCAAACACGUGACUUUAUUUUGGUGGCGCAUCGUGUAGAAUGGACUUUGUCCGCUGUUGUUUUGUAUUGUUAUUGUUGUUUUUUGUUUGCGUAAACGCUGUUUCGCCGCCCAAUUUCGUGCUCAUUUUCGCUGAUGAUUUGGGUUUUGGAGACUUGGGGUGUUACGGGCACCCCAGCUCGCUUACGCCGAAUUUGGACCGACUUGCAGCGGGGGGACUUCGCUUUACGGACUUCUACAGCACUAGCCCCGUCUGCAGCCCGUCCAGGGCUUCGUUGCUGACGGGGCGCUACCAGACCCGUUCGGGCAUCUUCCCCGGAGUUCUGUACCCCGGUUCCGUGGGCGGCCUCCCGCUGAACGAGACCACCAUCGCCGAGGUGCUGAAGCCGCUAGGCUACGCCACGGCCGCCGUGGGCAAGUGGCACCUGGGUCUCGGGCCCAAUGGAACGUUCCUUCCCACCAAGCAGGGCUUCGACGAGUUUCUGGGCAUACCGUACUCGCAUGACAUGGGUCCUUGUCACAACCUGACGUGCUUCCCCCCGGACGUCAAGUGCUUCGGUUCUUGCGACUUGGGUACCGUGCUGGUCCCGCUUUUGCACAACCAUGUCAUCAAAGAACAACCCGUCAACUUCCUGGAAUUGGAGCAAACAUAUAGCGACUUUUCCACUAGCUUUAUUGCCGCCUCGGCUAAAAAGAAGCAACCUUUCUUCCUCUACUAUCCUUCCCACCACACCCAUUACCCCCAAUACGCUGGUCCGGGAACAGCGGGAAAGACGUCGAGAGGCCCAUUCGGAGACUCUCUGCUAGAGUUUGACCACACUGUCGGGAAGCUGCUCGCUAGCUUGGAAGCUAGCGGCGUCAUCAACAACACGCUAGUUUUUUUCACGUCGGAUAACGGGCCUUCACUUAUACGCAUGUCCCGUGGCGGCAACGCGGGUGCCUUGAGAUGCGGGAAAGGUACAACGUACGAAGGCGGGAUGAGGGAACCUGCCAUCGCUUUCUGGCCGGGCACCAUCAAACCAGGUGUGACUCGUGAGCUCGCUAGCACUUUGGAUAUCCUGCCCACCAUCGCUCGGCUCGCGGGCGCCAGAGUGCCCCCAGUGGCGAUUGACGGUGUUGACAUGAUUGAAAUUCUUCAGAACCACGGAAAGAGUAAAAGGGAAGCCAUGAUGUUCUAUCCUUACGAUCCCAGUGAAAAAUUGGGCCUAUUUGCUCUCCGACUUGGCAAGUACAAGGCUCACUUUUACACGCGAGGUUCAACCCUCAGCAGCAGCACCCCCGACUUUGAGUGUUCCGCCUUGUCCGUCCUGAAAGUUCACGACCCGCCGCUUCUCUACGACUUGGAGGCCGACCCGUCGGAGCACUACCCUCUGGCGACGGGCGGCGAGACAGACAUCCCGGCGCUGCUGGAGAGGAUCAAAAAAGUCAAGGAACAAUUCGAGGCAUCCAUGGUGUUCGGGGAGAGUCAGAUCGGGAAAGGGAGCGACCCGCGGCUGGAGCCUUGCUGCAGUCCGCAAUGCACGCCCAAACCUAGCUGCUGUCGCUGUUGACAGGUGCAGUCCUACGUGUGUUCAAGUAAUGCAAACCGUUAGACGGGGCCUACGAGAAAUGGUACAAUUUUUCCUUUUCCCCCUCAGGAGCCCCGAUAAGGUUGCCCCCGACCUCUUGAUAGCAUUUACCUCAUCAGGCAACACCCGAUAAGGCAAUCGCCCACAGGUGUGAUGGUCACUUCCCAGGGGCAUCACCGUCUGUAGUGCCGAGCCGCCACAGUGGUCACCCUAGUGCUGCGUUGUAACAAUAACGACGAGUCCAAUCAUUUCAGACAUCAAGCAUAUAUUUUAUUUGUAAGACCAAAUUCAUGACAAGGCCAAUUCCUCCCUUGAAUUGUACAAGUAAGUAAAAGAUAUGUUGCUCAGUCACAUACUGCACUGUUUUCCUCUAAAGCACAUAGUAUACACAAACAUCCUAGCCAGUUAGCAACAUAGCUGCGCGACACCGCUCUCCUUUACCUAAAAGUAAUGCCGAGAAACAAAUAUCCGAAUGGCCAAUUAUUGCCCAGCGCGUACGUGAAUGUGUUCUUCAUUCUUUUGAUAGUUGGAUAACAGACAAGAAAAAGGACACAGCACUACUCGGGAGUCUCUAUGGUUAUAUACAUCAGCUAAAUGACAGCGUUGGGAUGAAUGAUUACAGCCAAGCCCGCGUGUUUUUUUUGUUUUGUUUUGUUUACUAAAUUUUCCACAUCUUUGGCCUCCUUUUCGAAUAUAAACCGGUAAAUACUCUACUAGAAGAUUAUACGACGGAUGCGAUAAAGCGAGAGAAAAAAAAACGCGUGUGAGGAUUGCGAUCCUUGAGGUUCGUUUUCGUACCUGAAGCCUGUCCACUUAUUUAUUUAUUUUUUUAUUUUUAAGUCGUUCGUCCAGAACAAAAACAUGACGGAACAGUCGUCGAAAUGAAAAUAUGGCUUUUCAGUGGGCGUCAUGGCUGGAUUACAAACGAAUGAUCGUGUCACCACUAAUUUACACGUGUACCGUUUUUUGUGUGUAAAAUUACACGUAAAUUCGAUAUUUUUCAAGAACGAACAAAGAGUUGGGAAAAAAAACAUUCAAGAUAAAUAAAAAUGCCAACAAAAAAAAAGUUGUUGAACUGUUUCAGUGCCAUUGACGAUGAUAGACGUCCAAUUUUCUGGCUUUUUUUCAUGCUUUUGCUAUGAAUUUCAAUGAGUUUCUCAAGUAGUAGACGUCUAAUCCAUUUGAACUGGGAAGUUUGGCGGAGAAUGAUCGAUGGAUUAACCGUUUUUCGCCAUCAACGGUAGCCAAUGAGUUCACAAGAAACCUCUGUGACCUUUGACCUUUUCCCCAAAAUUCAUUCACAGCUCUCAUUACAUAUUACAAACACAUUGUUUAUAAUCCCUUUCUUUGUUCUUCGUUCUUGAGUUAUCGUCAAAUACCUUUCCCCUCCUGGUUCAAAUGGAUUUGGACGUCCAUUGCCGUCAAUGGCAGCAAAUUAGUUUAAUUGGAUUCGUAGUGCUCAAAAUAUGGGGAUUUAAAAAAAAAAAAAAAAACACUCAGAAUUGCAUAAGAAACAAAAAUGACUUGAUUUGAAUCCUCUGAAAAACGCAUUGACUGCCAUUAACAGUAAUAGAUCUGCUGUUUGUUUUGUUUAGAUGAACUCGUUAGCUGCCAUUGACGGAGAUACGGUAGAAGUCCAGUCCAGUUUUACUGGGAGAGGCUAGUAGAGAAUGAUCACUGUCAGCCCUAGCAGUCAAAAUGGAUUGGAGGAUUAUUAACAUUAAUGGUACCAUAAGUAAUGUUGUGUCCAUCGCUAACAUGUACCGUUCUGUAAAAUACCAUGUUACAUGACGGACUAUUCCCUGUGAAAGUGGAUUGGAGCAUUAUAAACAUCAAUGUUAGCUAAAGUAUAACUCACCGCUAACAUGUACUGCUCUUUAAAAGACCAUGGUACAUAAUGGACUGUUACUAGUGAAAAGGGAUUGGACUAUUAUUACAUCAAUGUUAGCUUAAGUAUUACUAUGUCCAUUGCUAACAUGUACCGUACUGUAAAAGACCAUGGUGCAUGAUGGACUGUUACCAAUCAAAAUGGGCUAGAUGAUUAUUAACAUCAAUAUUAGCUAAAGUAUUACCCAUCGCUAACAUUAUUGCAACGGUGAGGAUCAUGGUCCAUGACGGACUGUUACCAGUCAAAAUGGAUUGAACGAUUAUUAACAUCAAUGUUAGCUGAAGUACGACUCCUCGCUAACAUGUACUGCACUGUAAAAGACCAUUGUGCAUGAUGGACUAUUAACAGUCAAAAUCGGUUGGAGUGUUAUUAACAUCAAUGUUAGCUGAAGUAUUACUAUGUCCAUUGCUAACAUGUAGGCUACCGUACUGUAAAAGACCAUGGUGCAUGAUGAACUGUUACCAGCCAAAAUGGGUUGAACGAUUAUUAACAUCAAUGUUAGCUGAAGUAUUACUCAUUGCUAACAUGAACUGCAUUGUAAAAGUAGUGAUGAUCAUGGUCCAUGACAGACUGUUGCCCGUGAAAAUGGAUUGGAAGAUUAUUACCAUCAAUGUUAGCUAAAGAAUGACUCAUCGCUAACAUGUACCAUACUGUAGAAGAACAUUGUGCAUGAUGGACUUCUACCAGUCAAAAUGGGUUGGACGAUUAUUAACAUCAAUGUUGGCUAAAGUAUGACUCAUCGCUAACAUGUACCGUACUGUAAAAGGCCAUUGUGCAUGAUGGACUGUUACCAGUCAUUAAUGGAUUAGAAGAUUAUUACCAUCAAUGUUAGCUAAAGUACGACUCAUCGCUAACAUGUACUGUACUGUAAAAGACCAUGGUCUAUGACUGGCUUUUACCAAUAGAAAUAAAUUGGAGGAUUAUUACCAUCAAUGUUAGCUUAAAUACUACUCAUCGCUAAGAUGUACCACACACUGUAAAUGUAAACACCACAGUUCACGGACUGUCACCCAUCAAAAUGUAUGUAAAAUUACUAUGUUCAUUGCUAACAUGUACCGUACUGAAAAAGACGAUGGUGCAUGAUAGACGAUUAUUAACAAAAGUAUUACUCAUUGCUAACAUUUACUGCACUGUGAAAGUAGUGAAGGUCAUGGUCCAUGACGGACUGUUACCAGUCAAUAUGGAACAUGGACAAUGAAAAUCGCUUACCGUGACAAAUGAGCGGGGAGCCAAAACACUCCGGCAGAGCGGCAAAAGAACAAAACCAGGCGAUCCGUACGUGACCCGCCGGCAGACUUCCUUCGCCGCCUUACCGAAGUGUGUUCGCCCCCCGCUCAUUUGUCACGGUAAGCGGUUUUCAUUGCUAAGGGACAUUUCGUUUUGCUGUAACGGUAAUGCGGGGAUUCUGGGGUUGACAAACUCAAAUCUAGCCUCAUCGUUGACAUUUGUUGAUACUUAUUUGCUUGCUCUUGUGGGAUUGUAAUCAAUAAAUCUCAUUUAUUCUGCAUUUUCUAAUCAAUAAACAUUGUCUAUUUUGCAAAAGUGUGCCUGUUACUGAUUCACCGCGAACCUGGAAAUUUCGGAAAACACUGUUCCCGGUCAAAAUGGAUAUAAUGACUAUCAUGAUCAGUGUUAGCUAAAGUAUUACUCAUUGCUAACAUGUACUGCACUGUAAAAGUAGUAAAGACUAAAGAUGUCCCAAUCGAUCGGGUCAGAUCACGUCAUCUUCAAAGUAUCGGAAUCUGCAAAAAAAUAUCGGACAUGCCUUUU